UACCAGUUCUUGCAUAGCCAAUCCCUCUAUUUAAUAAAUAAGGAGAAAGUAUUUAUUUAUAUAAAUAGUAAUUUGUAUUAUUAUUUUUAUUAUAUUGUUUUUUCUACGUAGUUUUUUAUUUAAGACUGGAUUGAGUGAUAGUUAUUUAUAAAUAAGUUAUUUUACUUUUUUUGUUUUUCCAUAUUUAAUAUACACCUUUGCAGUUAUAUUUAGCCCUAGGGAGGAGCAUACUACUUUUCCUUUGCAAAGCAAAGACAAAAGGAAAAGUGUUCCUACAUAGGAUUGAUAGUAAUAAGGCAAAAGUNNNNAUAGAAAUGGAG
rnacentral:rRNA from 1 species